rnacentral:lncRNA from 1 species
AAAUAAAGGGAAAACCAUUUAAACGAGAAAACAAACGGUCUAAUCUAUAAAGAAAAAAAAAGUGAAACAAGAAAAAAAUUUAUAAACCACAUCAACAGAUGACAACUACUGAACAUCGGAUUCCUAACUUAGGACAGGUGCAAAAAAAUCAGUGGGAUUAAACGUUUUAAUGAUACCAAACCUUCUCCCUUAUCGGAACACUAGUGUAACAGCGA